CUUAAAACCCAAAGGACUUGACGGUACCCCAUAUCCACCUAGAGGAGCCUGUCCUAUAAUCGAUAACCCCCGCUUAACCUCACCAUUUUUAGCCUAUCAGCCUGUAUACCUCCGUCGUCAGCUUACCACGUGAGCGAAGUUAAGUAAGCUUAAUGUCCAUACGUCAAUACGUCAGGUCAAGGUGCAGUAAAUAAAAUGGGAAGAGAUGGGCUACAUUUUCUAUCAUAGAAUAAACGAAAGACUAUUUAUGAAACCUAGUCAGAAGGCGGAUUUAGCAGUAAAAAGAAACCAGAGAGUUCUUUUUAACCCGGCACUGGGGUGUGU
rnacentral:rRNA from 1 species